GAAGUGCCCAGCAUAAUGACAGGAUUUUAAGAGACUUAACUUGAAGAGAACUCAAAGACUUUCUGAAGAACAGAAGAUGCUUCCUCUCUCCAGCUUUCUCAGAGUCUGCCCUGUUCUUCACAUCAAGGAUGCUUGCUGACAAGGUCUGUGAUGAUGGCCCUUCUCUGCUGAGGAAUUUUACUAACAAUUCCUACUCUCACCUCUGUAUAUACCCACGUAAUCUCAGAUCUUCUGCAAAAUGAAGAAUAUCUCCUGCCAUUAAAACACUGGGUAUGCUGAUGCAUUCAAUGAGAGAAUAUAAGGCUUCAUGAUGGCAUGGAAGUUAUUAUGGAUUUUCCAAAGUUACACUAGUAGGGAUGUUCAUCCUGGAGAAGAAUUACGGGGAGAAAGUGAUCACCUGUCUUUCUGUAUCUUUUAUUUCCAAGAUUCUGAGAUUCUUCAAAAAGAUGUAAGUCUGUAACACUAUUUGAAAGACUUUUGAUAGAAAGAGAUAAGACAUGCUCUGUUUUCCCUCAAAGGCAGACCCAGGAGCAAGGUUACAAGGAGUUAGAUUUCAGUUCAUUCAAAGGGAACACUUCCUAAUCAUUAGAGUUGUCCAAAAGAAGAAUGGACCAUCUUAAUGGGUAAUAAAUUCCCCAGUCACUGAAGAAAUACAAGCAGAAAUUGGAUAAGAUUGUAAGCCCCUCGAGGGCAGGAACUGUCUUUUGUACCCCGGCCACUUAGCAUAGUGC
rnacentral:lncRNA from 1 species